rnacentral:tRNA from 1 species
UCCCUGAUAGCUCAGAGGUUAAAGUGUCCACCUGCAAUAUGGGAGACCUGGGUUCGAUCCCUGGACCGGGAA